rnacentral:rRNA from 1 species
ACUGAUGAGUGUAUUUUUUUUAUGGGAGUUGGUUGUAUUUAUAUUUUGUUAUAGUAAAAUAUUUGGUUUAAUAUUGGUUUUUUUUUAUACGUAUAAGGUAUAUAUAUGGUUAUUUUUGGUUUAGACGAGGAUUAGAGACCCUUUUAUAUAAAAUAUUUUAAAUUGUAUGUUUCAGUAAUAAACUGAAAGAAAUUGGCAGCUGAUUAUUUUUUUCUAGGGGAUUGUGUGAUUUAAAUAGAUGGUCCACUUAAUAAUUUUUUUUUUUUUUUGUUGGUGUAUAUCCGGUUUAAACAAAAAACAAUUGUUUUUUGUUUAAACUUAGUAUUUUUAUCCAGGUCAAUAUGCUGCUUUUAAAAAAGUAUUAAUGCAAUACAUUAUAAAAUAAUAUUAGUUAGGUUUAUGGUAUUAAGGACUUAGUAGUAAUAGAAAAUUAAUUAGUUUUUGUGAAA